AUAUUCCUUCGGGGCAGGGUGAAAAUCCCUACCGGCGGUGAUGAAAGUGAAUUAUUCACUUCUUAGUCCGUGACCCGGCUUCAUGUAUGUGAAGUCGGUGGACCUGGUGCAAAUCCGGGACCGACAGUGAAAGUCUGGAUGGGAGAAGGAGCGA
rnacentral:ncRNA from 2 species